GUUUGCACACUCUGUAGGAGGGAUUUUGGCCCACUCCUCCACACAGAUCUUCUCUAGAUCAGUCAGAUUUUGGGGCUGUCGCUGAGAAACAGCGUUUGAGUUCCCUACAAAGAUUUUCCAUUGGUUUUAGGUCUUUAGACUGGCUAGACCACUUCAGAACCUUGAUAUGCUUCUUACAGAGCCACUCGUUGGUUAUUCUGGCUGUGCGCUUCAGGUCAAUGUCAUAGUGGAGGACCCAGCCACGCCCCAUCUUCAAUGCUCUAACUGAGAUCAUGUCUCUCCCAGUCGACAUGCACCCAAGAUGAAAAAUUCCGACCCCUCCUUGAUCUCUAAAUGGGAGGAACUUGCAAAAUCACAUGCAGGGUGUUCAAAUACUUUUUUGCCUCACAUUAUGUCUGGGAUUCUCAAACAAAAGUAGAGAGUUAAAUGUGUAAGUUUCAGGAUAAAAGAGAUGGUUCUGUUGUGAAUUAAGUUAUAAAAACUCAUGAACUGCUUCUGUUAGCAGGAGUCACAUCAGCUGUGACUCAUGUUUAGGAAUCAUUUUAAAAGCUCAUAACAAGAGAAAGAAAUGUAAGAUUUUUUUUUUUUUUGUGAGACAUUUCCCCGUGAUUCCCAUGAAACCACGUUAAAGGUCAGUGUGUCAUUUCACACUGUGUGAGACGACAAAAAAUUUGCUUUA